rnacentral:rRNA from 1 species
GUGGGGAAUAUUGGACAAUGGGCGAAAGCCUGAUCCAGCCAUGCCGCGUGAGUGAUGAAGGCCUUAGGGUUGUAAAGCUCUUUCAGUAGGGAAGAUAAUGACGGUACCUACAGAAGAAGCCCCGGCUAACUUCGUGCCAGCAGCCGCGGUAAUACGAAGGGGGCUAGCGUUGUUCGGAUUUACUGGGCGUAAAGCGCACGUAGGCGGUUUGUUAAGUCAGGGGUGAAAUCCCGGAGCUCAACUCCGGAACUGCCUUUGAUACUGGCAAGCUAGAGUCCGGAAGAGGUAAGUGGAACUCCUAGUGUAGAGGUGGAAUUCGUAGAUAUUAGGAAGAACACCAGUGGCGAAGGCGGCUUACUGGUCCGGAACUGACGCUGAGGUGCGAAAGCGUGGGGAGCAAACAGGAUUAGAAACCCGAGUAGUCC